AUGGCUUCGUUCGGGCCGACGGGGUUGCCAAACUCAGAGCACCUGCGGCACACCAACAAAGGGACGAUGAUCUUCAGCUACACCUGCGUCGGCCUCACGGGCGCCGCGCUCUUCUCCGUCAUCUUCUUCUUCUGCUACCAGCUCCGCAACCGGGCGCCGGUGGCGGCUGCGGGGGCGGAGACCGGCCGCCGCCGCACCGUGGACCUUGCCAAGCUGCCGGAGUUCGCGUACACCCACUCCGCCAGGCACAGCGGUAAGGAGGGCGGCGGGGAAGGCGCGCAGUGCUCGGUGUGCCUCGGCACGGUGCAGGCCGGCGAGAUGGUGCGGCUGCUGCCCUUGUGCAAGCACCUGUACCACGUGGAGUGCAUCGACAUGUGGCUGGCGUCCCAUGACACUUGCCCGCUUUGCCGCGCGGAGGUUGAGCCCCAGCCCCCGGAGGACGACGGCCAGCCCGAGGUGACGACCGAGCUGCCGGUCUAG
rnacentral:rRNA from 1 species